rnacentral:rRNA from 1 species
CCUACGGGAGGCAGCAGUGGGGAAUCUUGCGCAAUGGGCGAAAGCCUGACGCAGCCAUGCCGCGUGAAUGAUGAAGGUCUUAGGAUUGUAAAAUUCUUUCACCGGGGACGAUAAUGACGGUACCCGGAGAAGAAGCCCCGGCUAACUUCGUGCCAGCAGCCGCGGUAAUACGAAGGGGGCUAGCGUUGCUCGGAAUUACUGGGCGUAAAGGGAGCGUAGGCGGAUAGUUUAGUCAGAGGUGAAAGCCCAGGGCUCAACCUUGGAAUUGCCUUUGAUACUGGCUAUCUUGAGUGUGGGAGAGGUAUGUGGAACUCCGAGUGUAGAGGUGAAAUUCGUAGAUAUUCGGAAGAACACCAGUGGCGAAGGCGACAUACUGGCCCAUUACUGACGCUGAGGCUCGAAAGCGUGGGGAGCAAACAGGAUUAGAUACCCUGGUAGUCCACGCUGUAAACGAUGAGUGCUAGUUGUCGGCAGCGAUGCUGUCGGUGACGCGAGCUACGACAUAAGUACACUCCGCCGUCGGGAGGUACGGUCGCGAGAAUUAAACUACAAGAAGUAGACGGCGNGAGACGUGCCGACGGACGACGACGAGGGAGAGG